GUCAAGUUGAGAAGGAAAGAGGGGGGUCACUACGCUGACCAAUUACCUGCGGGUUAACCCAUGAGUGACGUGACCUUUGGCCAAUCAGAGAUGCAGUUUUGAGUGUGUCACAGAGGCUUUUCCCCGUGCAACUCAAUUGCAACUUACCAAAGUUUCAACCUAAUAAAGGUGCUUGAAACUAACUCUAAAGAAAGGCUCUAAGCAUCAACUGGACCAGAGAUGUUGUCAUUUGUAAGUGAAAGUACAUUUUAAAUAUAACAUUUCAGUCAUUUAGGUAAUCAUGAGCUAAUAUCCACC